CGGACAGUGUCUGGUGGGUAGUUUGACUGGGGCGGUCUCCUCCUAAAGAGUAACGGAGGAGCACGAAGGUUGGCUAAUCCUGGUCGGACAUCAGGAGGUUAGUGCAAUGGCAUAAGCCAGCUUGACUGCGAGCGUGACGGCGCGAGCAGGUGCGAAAGCAGGUCAUAGUGAUCCGGUGGUUCUGAAUGGAAGGGCCAUCGCUCAACGGAUAAAAGGUACUCCGGGGAUAACAGGCUGAUACCGCCCAAGAGUUCAUAUCGACGGCGGUGUUUGGCACCUCGAUGUCGGCUCAUCACAUCCUGGGGCUGAAGUAGGUCCCAAGGGUAUGGCUGUUCGCCAUUUAAAGUGGUACGCGAGCUGGGUUUAGAACGUCGUGAGACAGUUCGGUCCCUAUCUGCCGUGGGCGCUGGAGAACUGAGGGGGGCUGCUCCUAGUACGAGAGGACCGGAGUGGACGCAUCACUGGUGUUCGGGUUGUCAUGCCAAUGGCACUGCCCGGUAGCUAAAUGCGGAAGAGAUAAGUGCUGAAAGCAUCUAAGCACGAAACUUGCCCCGAGAUGAGUUCUCCCUGAGACUUUA
rnacentral:rRNA from 1 species